rnacentral:rRNA from 1 species
CGAACCGGGGGAACUGAAACAUCUAAGUACCCCGAGGAAAAGAAAUCAACCGAGAUUCCCCCAGUAGCGGCGAGCGAACGGGGAGCAGCCCAGAGCCUGAAUCAGUAUGUGUGUUAGUGGAAGCGUCUGGAAAGGCGCGCGAUACAGGGUGACAGCCCCGUACACAAAAAUGCACAUGCUGUGAGCUCGAUGAGUAGGGCGGGACACGUGGUAUCCUGUCUGAAUAUGGGGGGACCAUCCUCCAAGGCUAAAUACUCCUGACUGACCGAUAGUGAACCAGUACCGUGAGGGAAAGGCGAAAAGAACCCCGGCGAGGGGAGUGAAAAAGAACCUGAAACCGUGUACGUACAAGCAGUGGGAGCACGCUUAGGCGUGUGACUGCGUACCUUUUGUAUAAUGGGUCAGCGACUUAUAUUCUGUAGCAAGGUUAACCGAAUAGGGGAGCCGAAGGGAAACCGAGUCUUAACUGGGCGUUAAGUUGCAGGGUAUAGACCCGAAACCCGGUGAUCUAGCCAUGGGCAGGUUGAAGGUUGGGUAACACUAACUGGAGGACCGAACCGACUAAUGUUGAAAAAUUAGCGGAUGACUUGUGGCUGGGGGUGAAAGGCCAAUCAAACCGGGAGAUAGCUGGUUCUCCCCGAAAGCUAUUUAGGUAGCGCCUCGUGAAUUCAUCUCCGGGGGUAGAGCACUGUUUCGGCAAGGGGGUCAUCCCGACUUACCAACCCGAUGCAAACUGCGAAUACCGGAGAAUGUUAUCACGGGAGACACACGGCGGGUGCUAACGUCCGUCGUGAAGAGGGAAACAACCCAGACCGCCAGCUAAGGUCCCAAAGUCAUGGUUAAGUGGGAAACGAUGUGGGAAGGCCCAGACAGCCAGGAUGUUGGCUUAGAAGCAGCCAUCAUUUAAAGAAAGCGUAAUAGCUCACUGGUCGAGUCGGCCUGCGCGGAAGAUGUAACGGGGCUAAACCAUGCACCGAAGCUGCGGCAGCGACGCUGAUGCGUUGUUGGGUAGGGGAGCGUUCUGUAAGCCUGCGAAGGUGUGCUGUGAGGCAUGCUGGAGGUAUCAGAAGUGCGAAUGCUGACAUAAGUAACGAUAAAGCGGGUGAAAAGCCCGCUCGCCGGAAGACCAAGGGUUCCUGUCCAACGUUAAUCGGGGCAGGGUGAGUCGACCCCUAAGGCGAGGCCGAAAGGCGUAGUCGAUGGGAAACAGGUUAAUAUUCCUGUACUUGGUGUUACUGCGAAGGGGGGACGGAGAAGGCUAUGUUGGCCGGGCGACGGUUGUCCCGGUUUAAGCGUGUAGGCUGGUUUUCCAGGCAAAUCCGGAAAAUCA